rfam:Flavobacteriaceae bacterium CRH Contig57, whole genome shotgun sequence.
CCCUAGCCCCGAUAGCAGUAAAAAUACUUUUGUGCCUGUGUUCGGCACAAAAGAUUGCAACGGAUAGCGGGAAAAGCU